UGCUCUUCAACGGUUUGUCAAGAUUCAGACUGAUGUGAUCAAACCUGAACAAGAAAUACAAGUAAUAAAAAACUAGUAACAGGGACGGUGGGUUAAACCUACUGCUGCUCUGUGGCGCUCAGAGAACAGGAAGAACCCAGAACAGUUAAAUAAUUGUGAUUAAUUCACAAACAUCCUGAAGCCCCAACCAGAUUUUUUAAACUAAUUUGACAGCACUAAUAAUUACUGUUGCUGUUUUUUUUUUGUAUUAAUAUUUGUUUGGUCGUUUUUACUCUGGACAUUUAGUUCUGAUACACUGAGCAGCCUUUCUCCGCUCUGCUCAGCCGUUCAGAUCCACUAGAGGGCAGCGUUACCAGGUUCUGAGCUCUGCUGUGGUUCUGUGUUCAAGCACUCUGUCGCUCCACAGACCAGGUCCCAUCAGGUGUUCUUGUCUCCCAGGCAGAACAAAUGAGAAACGUUUAUCCGGUUGUUGAACAGCUGCAGCGUUCCCUCCAGAUCCCGGUCUGAAUCAUUCCGACUGGUUCUAGCAUGACACAGUCUGAGUUUGGACUGGUUUUAAUGGGACGGCCCGUCACCAGGCUCAGUGAGGGGAGGAGUUCCACUCUGACAGACUUUGUGUUGGAGCUGAAGAGCUGCUGCGUUCUCUCUGUUCUUCUGUCAGUACCAGGGAAAACAAUGCAGCUGCUGCUUUUCUCCUGCAUGAUGAUGAUCUUCUGCCUUCAGCCAGGAUCCUCUGAGGAUUUACUGACACCAUUUAAAGACGAUCAACUGGAUUUGGAAGGAAACGACGUGACUCUGUCCUGCAACUAUUCAGGAACAGUAAACCUGCUGCUGUGGUACCGACAGACGCCCAGUUCAUCUCCACAGCUGGUCACCUCAGGAUAUUCAGACACAACAGGAAGGGUUUCCUUGAGACACAAGAAAACAAGAAAGACGUUUCAUCUGCUGAUCUCCUCUGCUGCAGUGACAGACUCUGCUGUGUACUACUGCGCUCUGCAGCCCACAGUGACAGGAAACACCAGAACCCUGUACAAAAACCUGCAGUACUCCGCAGCAGCCACUAGAGGCCCUCACUCCCUGUUAAACCACUAAAACCUGCAGU